AAGAAAACAUUUAGCUUUUGUAAAAAUUGUACAGAUUUGAUUUAUGAAUGUUCUUCUGCUGUACGUGAACGUGCUUUUGAGUUUAGUGUUUGAAGACAUUCAGAGUCAGACGUACUGCAUCUUCUGCUCUUCAGCUGUUUUCACUUGUGUUUUCUCUGCAGAAUGAAACGCGCCGCUUCACUCAACGUCCUGAACAAGACGGGAGACGAGUCCUUCCAGAGUCCGGCCGGCCGGCGGCUCAGAGACAGUCGAGGUUUGAGCUCCAGUAAUGUGGAUCUGUACAGCGGCAGUUAAAUCAGUCCUCGUCAGGGAGCACAUUAGUGAUUGGAGUAGAUGGUGUGCUCUGGGUGAAAGGGAACGUCUGCUGCUGCUUUACUGUGCUCACACUGUAUGUGUACUGUAUGUUAUGGGUUUUGCUGAUGUGAGCGAAUGUGUGUUUCUCUCUGAGGGAAGGGUUUCUUUCUUUCCAUCUGGGUUUGGGUUCAUAGUGGAUUUUGAAACCCAUUAAGAAUUUGAAAUUUAAUAGAACUUGCUGUGCUGAAAUAAUAAAGAUCACAAUGAUCAGCA
ensembl:lncRNA